CUGGCUCAGGAUGAACGCUGGCGGCGUGCAUAACACAUUCAAGUCGAACGAAGCACUGACGAUGAAGUCUUCGGACGGAAUUGUCUUUGACUUAGUGGCGGACGGGUGAGUAACGCGUGAGCAACCUUCCUGGUAGUGGGGGAUAACACAGGGAAACUUGUGCUAAUACCGCAUGACGCACUGAGGUCGCAUGGUUUUAGUGCCAAAGAUUUAUUGCUACCAGAUGGGCUCGCGUCUGAUUAGAUAGUUGGCAGGGUAACGGCCUACCAAGUCGACGAUCAGUAGCCGGACUGAGAGGCUGAACGGCCACAUUGGAACUGAGAGACGGUCCAGACUCCUACGGGAGGCAGCAGUGGGGAAUAUUGGGCAAUGGGCGAAAGCCUGACCCAGCCGACGCCGCGUGAGGGAAGAAGGUCUUCGGAUUGUAAACCUCUUUCAGCAAGGAAGAAGAAAGUGACGGUACUUGCAGAAGAAGCCACGGCUAACUACGUGCCAGCAGCAGC
rnacentral:rRNA from 1 species